rnacentral:rRNA from 1 species
AUUGAACGCUGGCGGCAGGCUUAACACAUGCAAGUCGAGCGGGGUGAUGGUGCUUGCACUAUCACUUAGCGGCGGACGGGUGAGUAAUGCUUAGGAAUCUGCCUAUUAGUGGGGGACAACAUCCCGAAAGGGAUGCUAAUACCGCAUACGUCCUACGGGAGAAAGAAGGGGAUCCCUUGUGACCUUGCCCUAAUAGAUAGGCCUAAGUCGGAUUAGCUAGUUGGGGGGGUAAAGGCUUACCAAGACGACGAUCUGUAGCGGGUCUGAGAGGAUGAUCCGGCACACUGGGACUGAGACACGGGCCAGACUCCUACGGGAGGCAGCAGUGGGGAAUAUUGGGCAAUGGGGGGAACGCUGAUCCAGCCAUGCCGCGUGUGUGAAGAAGGCCUUAUGGUUGUAAAGCACUUUAAGCGAGGAGGAGGCUCUUUUGGUUAAUACCCAAGAUGAGUGGACGUUACUCGCAGAAUAAGCACCGGCUAACUCUGUGCCAGCAGCCGCCGUAA